rnacentral:rRNA from 1 species
GACGAACGCUGGCGGCGUGCUUAACACAUGCAAGUCGUACGGUAAGGCCCUUUCGGGGGUACACGAGUGGCGAACGGGUGAGUAACACGUGAGUAACCUGCCCACAACUUUGGGAUAACGCUAGGAAACUGGUGCUAAUACUGGAUAUGUGCUCCUGCUGCAUGGUGGGGGUUGGAAAGCUCCGGCGGUUGUGGAUGGACUCGCGGCCUAUCAGCUUGUUGGUGGGGUAGUGGCCUACCAAGGCGGCGACGGGUAGCCGGCCUGAGAGGGUGACCGGCCACAUUGGGACUGAGAUACGGCCCAGACUCCUACGGGAGGCGGCAGUGGGGAAUAUUGCACAAUGGGCGCAAGCCUGAUGCAGCAACGCCGCGUGCGGGAUGACGGCCUUCGGGUUGUAAACCGCUUUCAGCAGGGACGAAGCUUUUUGUGACGGUACCUGCAGAAGAAGCACCGGCUAACUACGUG